AACGAACGCUGGCGGCAUGCCUAACACAUGCAAGUCGAACGAGACCUUCGGGUCUAGUGGCGCACGGGUGCGUAACGCGUGGGAACCUGCCCUUAGGUUCGGAAUAACUCCCCGAAAGGGGUUCCAAUACCGGGUAAUGUCUUCGGACCAAAGAUUUAUCGCCUUUGGAUGGGCCCGCGUUGGAUUAGCUAGUUGGUAGGGUAAAAGCCUACCAAGGCGACGAUCCAUAGCUGGUCUGAGAGGAUGAUCAGCCACACUGGGACUGAGACACGGCCCAGACUCCUACGGGAGGCAGCAGUGGGGAAUAUUGGACAAUGGGCGAAAGCCUGAUCCAGCAAUGCCGCGUGAGUGAUGAAGGCCUUAGGGUUGUAAAGCUCUUUUACCCGGGAUGAUAAUGACAGUACCGGGAGAAUAAGCUCCGGCUAACUCCGUG
rnacentral:rRNA from 1 species